rnacentral:rRNA from 1 species
CCUACGGGCGGCUGCAGUGAGGAAUAUUGGUCAAUGGACGGAAGUCUGAACCAGCCAUGCCGCGUGCAGGAAGACGGCUCUAUGAGUUGUAAACUGCUUUUGUACAAGGGUAAACCUCAAUACGUGUAUUCAGCUGAAAGUACUGUACGAAUAAGGCUCGGCUAACUCCGUGCCAGCAGCCGCGGUAAUACGGAGGAUCCAAGCGUUAUCCGGAUGUAUUGGGUGUCAAGGGUGCGUAGGCGGAUUGAUAAGUUAGAGUUGAAAUGUGCGAGCUUAACUCGGGAACUGCCUCUAAUACUGUUGAUCUAGAGAGUAGAUGCGGUAGGCGGAAUGUAGGGUGUAGCGGUGAAAUGCGUAGAGAUCAUACAGAACACCGAUUGCGAAGGCAGCUUACUAAUCUAUAUCUGACGUUGAGGCACGAAAGCGUGGGGAGCAAACAGGAUUAGAUACCCGAGUAGUC